rnacentral:lncRNA from 1 species
GCACCGAAUUUAUCCAAAUUUUUUUAAAAUUUUCAUAGCUUUUAAGGUACACAUUGUGCACCCUUUUCUAGUGAUCCAUGCACGAAAAUAUGGAGAAGGUGCUCAAGAGUUGGGCGCCCCUUAACUUGCCAUGUUUGGAUAAGCCUUGACUAGGUAUUUGACCUAGACAAGGACUCUAUCAUAUCUCUCUGUAUAAAACGAGUUUCUUCAUGAAAUUUUCGAAGAAGACAGAAAUUUGAGAGACCUUUGUGCCAUCCAAAAAUCAGAGAGAAAGACCAUUGGGUCGUAGAGAUAUAAAAGAUGCAAGUUAGGGUGUCUAGAGAGAAAAACGUGAAGAAGAAGAGGGUCUUCUUCUAGGGUUAUUUGUUUUCAUAUCUUUCCUCCUUCCAUCUUGAGUUUCCUGAGAGUGUCUUAGAUCUGAAACUCCUCCUUUUACUUUCCAUCUUUGGAAGAGUCCAAAUCAAGAAGAAGGAGGCACCUAAUCAACCAUCAAAGAAGGAUCAGCGCAGUACUAGCAUACUGUGCUGAUUUCCUGAAGCAGGACUUCUAAUCGAGAUUCGUGGGCUCGUGUGGAUGACUCCUAGAGGCCGAACGCAUGUGCGGCUUGCAACAUCAUCCUUAAGCCCAGAUCAGUGAGGUUAGAGCAUCUAACUUGCAAGGUAAUAGAUCUGAUCUAUUGUUUAAUACAUAC